rnacentral:rRNA from 1 species
UGCCCGGUAGCUAAAUGCGGAAGAGAUAAGUGCUGAAAGCAUCUAAGCACGAAACUUGCCCCGAGAUGAGUUCUCCCUGACUCCUUGAGAGUCCUGAAGGAACGUUGAAGACGACGACGUUGAUAGGCCGGGUGUGUAAGCGCAGCGAUGCGUUGAGCUAACCGGUACUAAUGAACCGUGCGGCUUAACCUU